rnacentral:rRNA from 1 species
AGGAACCUGCCUUCCAGAGGGGGACAACAGUUGGAAACGACUGCUAAUACCGCAUGACGCAUUGGUGUCGCAUGGCACUGAUGUCAAAGAUUUAUCGCUGGAAGAUGGCCUCGCGUCUGAUUAGCUAGUUGGUGAGGUAACGGCCCACCAAGGCGACGAUCAGUAGCCGGACUGAGAGGUUGGCCGGCCACAUUGGGACUGAGAUACGGCCCAGACUCCUACGGAAGGCAGCAG